UGGGGAAUAUUGCGCAAUGGAGGAAACUCUGACGCAGCGACGCCGCGUGAGUGAUGAAGGCCUUCGGGUUGUAAAGCUCUGUCGGCUGGGAAAAAGGUAGCUGCACUAGUACUGCAGUUGCUUGGUGGUACCAGCAAAGGAAGCACCGGCUAACUCUGUGCCAGCAGCCGCGGUAAUACAGAGGGUGCAAGCGUUGUUCGGAAUUACUGGGCGUAAAGGGCGUGUAGGCGGCUUAGCAAGUCAGAUGUGA
rnacentral:rRNA from 1 species